CAGUAGCCGCGGGAAAACGAGGGGGGCAAGCGUUGUUCGGAAUUAUUGGGCGUAAAGGGUGCGUAGGCGGUUUGAUAAGUCAUCUGUGAAAUCUCUGGGCUCAACCUGGGAAUGGCAAUGGAAACUGGACGGCUAGAGUGUGUCAGAGGAUGGUGGAAUUCCCGGUGUAGCGGUGAAAUGCGUAGAGAUCGGGAGGAACAUCAGUGGCGAAGGUGGCCAUCUGGGACAACACUGACGCUGAAGCACGAAAGCGUGGGGAGCAAUCAGGAUUAGAGACCCCCGUAGUCCCUGUCUCUAUACA
rnacentral:rRNA from 1 species